rnacentral:tRNA from 4 species
GGCGGAAUAGCCAAGUGGUAAGGCAUGGGUCUGCAAAACCUUGAUCGCCGGUUCAAAUCCGACUUCCGCCU